AAAGUGAGAGAGGGAGGCAGAAGAGGAAGUCAGAGUGAUGUGCUGUGAAAUCUACUGUUUGCUGGUUUUGAAGAUGGAGAAAAUGGGUGAUGAACUAAGAAACAUGGAUGGCCUUGGGAACCUGGAAAAGGGUCACUGAAAUGCGAUGAUGUGAAUUCAAGGAGGCUAUUUAUGACCAUGUCAUUUGCAACAUGAAGAAAGCUUAUCUGGAGUGAAAGUAAGUGAGACCAACAGGGAUAAGAGACCCAGAGAAAUCUUAGUUACACUGCUUGAAUCCUGUCAGUCCUGUACUGGAGUCCUGUUAAUACAAAAUAAUAGUAAUAAUCCCUCUGUUUCUGAUGUUUAUGUCAACUUCAACAAAAAGAAACUUGACUAAGAGACAGUAUAAGAAUUUAAUGUGUAAUUAAGAAAGAACUCUCCACCACGGGGAAUGUGAAAGGUAUAUGAGUCCCUUUUUACGAUGCGAUGUCAUGUCUUUUAAAUAAGCCAUACUACAUGUUCAAUAAAAAGAGAAUAAGCAGGAUUCACAAAAGAACACAAUCCCUUUUUAACUUUUGGGAAGAUACUUUUAGUCAUUAAUGACUGGAUGACAAUUUGGGACACAUAUAUGGAUAUUGGCCGGUUUGUGAUAAUGUGGUUGGGCCUCAUUGUUCCCUGUAUAGAGUGAGUGGCAAGUGCAUUUAUAAAAUCGGCCAUCAUGGCUGUUAAAUUUAUGAGUCUAGAGGUGUGCCUCUCAAACAAGUAUUUGAGAGGUUAUCAUGAAGAAAAACAAAAUUAAAAUUAUUCUGCUGAGCUCUCAAAAGCAGAACUAUCGAAUGAAAGUUAUAGGAAGGAAGGUUCAAACUCAACAAUAAGAAUGCCUUUCUUGCAUUGCUCAUCACUAGAAGUUUCCAAUAAGAUUUUUAGAAAAAUUUAGAGAGUAUUCUUGAAUUGAGCAGGAGGAUAACACAGAGAUAAUUCAAAUGUGGUUUGAUGAACUUCUAAAAUGGUUCCAACUAUAAACUUCAAUUAUUCUAGCCUCCAAGACCUACACAUAACUGUGCAAUGUGCAAAUUAUUCAAUAGUAACAUAGAAUUCUGAAUAAUUAGCAUUUUCCCACUGUUUGAUAUUUGUAUAAAGCAAUCUUAGCAGUAUGAAUAACUAGAAUACUUCAAAGCAAUAUGUUUUAUUGCUUUAUAUUUAAAGAAACCAUGUCAGACAUUUAAAAUGAAUGGCUGCUAUCAGGAAAAUGGAUCUCAAGACACAAGAAAUAAAUCACAAUGACUUCCUUAUUUGUGGAAAUUCUCCUUGUACUAGAAAGGAAAAGUAGAAGUAUGGGAAAAUGUCUUCCAGAAAAUUACAUUUUCCCAAAGUUUAUUUUAAAUUUUAAUAAUUUAAUCAACCAUCUGAUUCUGAUUUCAAGUGUCACAGAGGUUCAUUUUAUUAUAAACAACAACAAAAAAACUUUGUAGUCUUGUAAACACUGGUGACAGAGAAUAACACCACUAACUGUGCUGAGCAGAAAACAGGAGCCAAGUAAGGGAAAAAGCUUCUUUAUGUCAUUCAUCAAUUUAAAAGUGUUUUUCAUCCCAGGACCAUCCUGAAGCCAAAACUGGGGAAACAUUUACUACUUUUACAAACAAAAAUAUAUAUUCCAUCCCUUGCAUGAUGUGUGUGUCUCCGACAUUUGGUUUCUGUCUAAGUGUCUAAAGAAAGGCCUUAUUUAGAGCAAAAUACACUUUUGUGGGCAUUGAUGUGAACUUCAGGUCUGGGUUAUCAAUGACCUAAAUUGAGAAAAUAGAGGUGCUGUGUGGACAAAGAGAGAGAAGAGAGCAUAUAGCUGCCCUAUGCCGUUGCUCUGUUCACGGUAAGGAUUGAGCCAUUCUAAUCCCCUUGGAUUUUUUAUCUACCAAAACAGCUUGGGCCCAUCAGCAAAUUGCAGUGGCAUAUGGUCCAGGUUUACGAGUAAUCUGGCACAUGAUUAAGGCAAGGGGGAUGUCAUCUUUCAGCAAAUACUGAAAAUAUUGUAGAAGAAUUUGGUAGGGUUUUAAAAUUCAAACUGAUAAAAUUGUAAUUAUUAAAUACUUCCCCAAAUCAA
rnacentral:lncRNA from 1 species